UAACGAGAUAAGCACGGCUAACUACGUUGCCAGCAGCCGCGGUAAUACGUAGGUGGCAGCGUUGUCCGGAAUUAUUGGGCGUAAAGGGCUCGCAGGCGGUUUCUUAAGUUGAUGUGAAAGCCCCGGGCUCAACCGGGGAGGGUCAUCGAAACUGGGAAACUUGAGUGCAGUAGAGGAGAGUGGAAUUUCACGUGUAGCGGUGAAAUGCGUAGAGAUGUGGAGGAACACCAGUGGCGAAGGCGACUCCCCUGGUCUGUAACUGACGCUGAGGAGCGAAAGCGUGGGGAGCGAACAGGAUUAGAUACCCUGGUAGUCCACGCCGUAAACGAUGAGUGCUAAGUGUUAGGGGGUUUCCGCCCUUUAGUGCUGCAGCUAACGCAUUAAGCACUCCGCCUGGGGAGUACGGUCGCAAGAUUGAAACUCAAAGGAAUUGACGGGGGCCCGCCCAAGCGGUGGAGCAUGUGGUUUAAUUGGAAGCAACGCGAAGAACCUUACCAGGUCUUGACAUCCUAUGACAACCCAAGAGAUAGGGCUUUCCCUUCGGGGAUAGAGUGACAGGUGGUGCAUGGUGGUCGUCAGCUCGUGUCUUGAGAUGUUGGGUUAAGUCCCGCAACGAGCGCAACCCUUGAUUUUAGUUGCCAGCAUUUAGUUGGGCACUUUAAGGUGACCGCCGGUGACAAACCGGAGGAAGGUGGGGAAGACGUCAAAUCAUCCUGCCCCUUAUGACCUGGGCUACCCACCUGGUACAAUGGACAGAACAAAGGGGUGCACGACCGCAAGGUUUAGCCAAUCCCAUAAAUCUGUUUUCAGUUCGGAUCGCCGUUUGCAAAUUGAAUGCGUGAAGCUGGAAUCGCUUGUAAUCGCGGAUCAGCAUGCCCCGGUGAAUACGUUCCCGGGCCUUGUACACACCCCCCGUCACACCACGAGAGUUUGCGAACAUCCGAAGUCGGUGAGUGUAACCAUUAGGAGCCCGCGUACCGAUAGAUGUUUCCUCGCCUAG
rnacentral:rRNA from 1 species